rnacentral:rRNA from 1 species
CUACGGGAGGCAGCAGUCGAGAAUCUUCCGCAAUGGACGCAAGUCUGACGGAGCGACGCCGCGUGAACGAUGAAGUGCUUCGGCAUGUAAAGUUCUUUUGCCAGGGAGAAAGUUUAUUGAUAGUACUUGGCGAAUAAGAGGUUGCUAAACUCGUGCCAGCAGCAGCGGUAAUACGAGUGGCCUCAAGCGUUAUCCGGAAUUAUUGGGCGUAAAGGUUGUGUAGGUGGUCGUGUUAGUCUCUUGUUAAAUUCUUCGGCUUAACCGGGGGCAUGCAAGGGAAACGGCACGACUAGAGGAUGCGAGGGGUCUGCGGAACUCAUAGUGUAGCGGUGAAAUGCGUUGAUAUUAUGGGGAACACCAAAAGCGAAGGCAGCAGACUGGAGCACUCCUGACACUGAAACAAGAAAGCGUGGGUAGCGAAUGGGAUUAGAUACCCCGGUAGUC